AGCUCAGUUGGGUUAGAGCAUCCCGAUUUGCAAUCGGGAGUGGUCCGCGGUUCGAGCCCGUUC
rnacentral:tRNA from 1 species